AUGGAGUGGCCGCUCAGCUCGACUGAUCCAUCCACACCACGCCGGGUGUUUCCUGCAGCAACUGUCACCAGGGCAACCAGCAGUCAGGCGAAGCCACGAGGUUCCCUCAUCACUGCCCGGUCAUUCUCUAAGCACACGCCCUGGUCAGUCAGUUCCCCCUUCCAGCUGACUCCUGAACUCCAACGUCAGUGUGGUAAAAGCCACCUUCCCUUUUUUCUUCUUUUCCUUUUCCCUUUUCCCUUCCUUCCCUCUUUCCUCCCACCCACUCUUCCUCAGUCCUUCUGUCUCUUCUCCCCCACUUCUUCUCUCCCUCACUGCCUCAUUCCCUCACUGUCUCGCUCCCUCACUGCUGCUUCUCUUCCUUUCUUGCUCCUUCCCAUAGGCAGAAGCUGUGAUUCCACUGGAAAGGUGAAAGAGGUAUUUCAGCUCUCUGGCCAUGCUCGGUGUCGUCUUGGCUCUUCUCACCUGGCGGGAAGAGGCCCACAAAACACCACACAGGACCAUUAUUGGAAAGCCAAAAGAUUUUUACUUCUCCUCAGUAUGGCGUCCCUGGGUAAUAAUCAGGUAAGCGCUCUUCUCCACAGCUCUCUAAAACUUUUUUUUUCCUCGGGACCCAUAACUGUGUCAUUUAAGUGCUUAUUCUAAGCCAAGCACGUCGUAGGUACCGGAGAAGCAGCGUGACCCAGCGGAAAGACCAAGGGCCUGGAAGCCAGAGGACCUGAGUUCUAAAUUCAGCUUCACCACUUGUCGGCUGCGGGACCUUGGGCAGGUCAGUCUCCUUCCUUGGCAGGGUCGGGGAUUGAGAGGUAGAAAGGUAAACUCCUCGCUGAGCCCCGGCAUUGAUUUCAUCGUUUAAUUUUGGGGGGCCGUCAAGGGAAGAAGGGGACUGAACCCCCGGGGAGAGCCGGGGUCUGGGAUAAGAAAGGAAGCUUGUGACCUCUGGUGCCGCUGCUCUGGAGCCAACGUUCAGAGAAGCAAAUGUUUGUAAGCAUAAGGGGCCAAAUCUCCUUCCUAUUUAGGAGGUUCAGAAAACAAACAGUGCAGGGAGCGGAUGCUGGGAGGUGAUCUUAUAGAACGCCUUUCCAUGCCACUGGACGUUUCCUAAAUCAUUAACGAGAACCUUAAUCGUAUUUAGGUCAAAAUGCAGACAGAAGCUUAUAUAGUCAAUCCC
rnacentral:lncRNA from 1 species